rnacentral:rRNA from 1 species
UGAGGAACAUGACCUUCGGCGGGGGAUAGCCGGCCCAACGGCCGGGUAAUACCGCGUACGACCAUUUGGGACAUCCCCGAGUGGUGAAAGCAGCAAUGCGCCGAUGGAGUGCCUCGCGGCCUAUCAGCUAGUUGGUGAGGUAACGGCUCACCAAGGCGACGACGGGUAGCUGGUCUGAGAGGAUGGCCAGCCANAUUGGGACUGAGACACGGCCCAGACUCCGUACGGGAGCAG